UACGUAGGGGGCAAGCGUUGUCCGGAUUUAUUGGGCGUAAAGAGCGUGUAGGCGGCCAAGCAGGUCAGCUGUGAAAACUCGAGGCUCAACCUCGAGACGUCGGUUGAAACCGCUUGGCUAGAGUCCGGAAGAGGAGAGUGGAAUUCCCGGUGUAGCGGUGAAAUGCGCAGAUAUCGGGAAGAACACCCCGUGGCGAAGGCGGCUCUCUGGGACGGUACUGACGCUGAGACGCGAAAGCGUGGGGAGCGAACAGG
rnacentral:rRNA from 1 species